ensembl:lncRNA
GGUGGAUUUAACAUUCAAGACAGUCGCCUGACCCCACACUGAAGACGGCUCGAAAACACAAACCAUCACAAAUAUGAGUUUCUCUGACCUGACUUCACCCUUCGACGUUUCUUCCAUGAGCGAAGAACAACUCGAGAGUUUGGUUGAACAACUUCAAGAUGCCGUCAGUAAUGUGAACGAGGAACUGAACAUGACUAAGGAAGAGCGAGAGGCUGUAGAUAAGGACGUGAAAAGACGCACUGAAGACCUGAACCGGAGGAUGGUGAUGGCGACGCAGACAGGAGGAGUGGGUGAGGCCCUGUUGGAGCUGGAGCAACUGAGGCUGAGGAGGGCUGAGCUGGUCCAGCAACUGGAGGGGAUUAAUAGGUCACAGGGUAAAGGAUCAAAGAAGAAACUGAAGGAUUUAGAUAAAAUUGACAAGGUGGCGGAGUCUCUAGCAGAGAAGGAGAAGAGUUUGAACCUCCAGUGUCUGGCGAUAAGGAAGUCUCUAGCAGAGAUCCAGUCUCGCUGCCUAGAAGUCCAGAGAGACGUCAGGGCGAGGAUCUCCUUCCAGAGAGACGUCAGGGCGAGGAUCUCCUUCCAGAGAGACGUCAGGGCGAGGAUCUCCUUCCAGAGAGACGUCAGGGCGAGGAUCUCCUUCCAGAGAGACGUCAGGGACUGUAACAUACUCUGUUUCACGGAUUCAUGGCUCUCUCUGGAUAUACUGUCCCGGUCCAUACAACCAGCUGGAUUCUCAGUUCAUUGCGUAGACAGGGAUGAAGAAUUCUCUGGGGGAAAAAGAAAAGUGGAGGUGUAUGUUGCGUGAUUAACUACUCAUGGUGUGAUUGUGGUAAUAUACAGAAACUCAAGUUCUUUUUUUCACCCGACCUAGAAUACCUCACAAUCAAAUGCUUGACCGUAUUACCUCACAAGAGAAUUCUCUUCGGUUAUAUUCACAGCAGUGUAUAUUCCCCCUCAAGCUGAUCCCACGAUGGCCUCAAGGAACUACACUGGGCUUUGUGCAAACUGGAAAUCGUAUAUCCAUCCUGAGGAUGCAUUUAUUGUAGCUGGGGAUUUUAACAAAGGAAAUUAGUGGAAAAAGCUACUGAAGUUCUAUCAACACAUUGACUUUAGUACUGGCUUCGGAAAAACUCUAGACCACUGCUUCCUACAAGGCCCUCCCCCGCCCUCCCUUCGGCAAAUCAAAUCACAACUCCAUUUUGCACCUCCCUUCCUAUAGGCAGAAACUCAGUACGGGCACUUCCUGUUUUAAGGUCUAUUAAACGCUGGUCUGACCAAUUGGAAUCCAUUCUUCAAGAUUGUUUUGCUAUGCUCCGGGUUGCCUCUGAGAAUAACAUUGACAUAUUCCCGGACACGGUGACUGAUUUUCAUCAGGAAGUGUGUAUGGGGUGUUGUUCCCACGGUGACUAUUAAAACCUAUCCCAACCGUGGCUAGAUGGCAACAUUCGUGUAAAACUAAAAGCGGGAACCACCGCAUUUAACCAUGGCAAGGUGACUGGGAAUAUGGCCGAAUACAAACAGUGUAGUUGUUCCCUCUGUAAGGCAAUCAAACAGGCAAAACGUCAGUAUAGAGACAAAGUGGAGUCGCAAUUCAACGGCUCAGACACGAGACGUAUGUAGCAGGGUCUACAGACAAUCACGGUCUACAAAGGGAAAACCAGCCACACUGACGUCUUGCUCCCGGACAAGCUAAACACCUUCUUCACCGGCUUUGAGGAUAACACAGUGCCUCCGACACUGCCCAAGGACUGUGGGCUCUCAUUCUACAUGGCCGUCGUGAGUUUAAGCGUGUUAACCCUUGCAAGGCUGCCGGCCCAGACAUCAUCCUUAACCGCGUCCUCAGAGCAUGCGCAGACCAGCUGGC